CUCGCUGGAACUUAACGUGAGGGGAGCCAGUGUGGUCUGUGGAGGCUCCUUUGAGCAGGUGACAUCUGAGCUGCCCUCUGAAGAUAACAAGGAUCCAGACAUGACGGGGAGAAGGAGACGCUGCAGGCAGAGGACAAAGGUGCUAGAUGGACCCAAAGUUAAGGACGCAGUACUCCUCCCCUCUGAAGGGCACAGCAACAAGGCGCCACCGUGGAAGCAGGGUCCAGGCCCUCACCUGACAUGAAGCCUGCCAGGACCUUGAUCUUGGACAUCCCA
rnacentral:lncRNA from 1 species